GCUGCAGCAGCACGUACUAAAAUAGGAACGAUACAGGGAAGAUGAGCACGGCCCCUGCGUAAGGAUGACACACAAAUCUAUGAAGCCUUCCCUCUUUUU
rnacentral:snRNA from 1 species